AUGAAUUAUGAAUUGUGAAUUUCGAAUUUUUCAGUUCUGAUUUUCAUUUUUUUGUGUGUGCAGGAUUUGGCUUGGUUGAGUUGAUCUACGAAUUUUGAAUCAUCGAGUUUGAAAACACGUUUCCGCGUUCUCUGAAGAUGAAGCGGUCACGUGACGACGUUUUCAUGAGUUCAUCUCAACUCAAACGACCUAUGCUGAAUAACUCUUAAGGAGAAGCGGUUAGAAGUUCCAUGUUACCUGUAUAAGAGUGAAUUAAACCUCAAUCUGAUUCUAUUAAAGAAUGAUUUAGAUACUUUCUAGAAGUUGGAUUUCAUGUUCUUUUUCCUUUCAUCGUUGCACCCUCUUGGCGCUGUUUGGGUUCAUGUUUGGGUAGUAUAUCCAAUUUCAAUGGUAUGUAAUUUUAUUACUUUGGAAAUAAUUUUAGUAUUUGCUUAAUAUGUAUAUGAUAGCACUCAAGGUGAUUCCUCUCGAUUAUGUGAUCCUAUAUGCGACUUUUUUUUAUUCAAUUGUGACUGUUCGUUAAUCUCUUUCCUUGCUUUGAGUUCCGGUUCUUUUAUUUAUUUUGUACAGUAUGUGAUUCCUUUCAGAAAAUACUCUUGAAUAAUCUAAACUUGAAAGUUUUGGUUUCCUUCUUAGGUAGAAAUACCUUCCAAUAAUGAGACAAAUGUGGAGGUUUGAGAGGUCACUCAACAAAUGAGCACAUGC